rnacentral:rRNA from 1 species
UCGAGAAUUUUUCUCAAUGGGGGAAACCCUGAAGGAGCGACGCCGCGUGGAGGAUGAAGGUCUUCGGAUUGUAAACUCCUGUCAUUGGUGAACAAAGCCACGGGUUAACUGCCUGGUGGUUUGCUAGUAGCCGAAGAGGAAGGGACGGCUAACUCUGUGCCAGCAGCCGCGGUAAUACAGAGGUCCCGAGCGUUGUUCGGAUUUAUUGGGCGUAAAGGGUGCGUAGGUGGCAGAGUAAGUUGGAUGUGAAAUCCUGGGGCUUAACCUCAGAAUUGCAUUCAAUACUGCUUUGCUAGAGAGCUGUAGAGGAGACUGGAAUUUACGGUGUAGCAGUGAAAUGCGUAGAUAUCGUAAGGAACGCCAGUGGCGAAAGCGAGUCUCUGGGCAGCAUCUGACACUGAGGCACGAAGGCCAGGGGAGCAAACGGGAUUAGAUACCCCCGUAGUCC